rnacentral:rRNA from 1 species
GCUCGACUCUCCCACCCUUUGUGAACGUACCUCUGUUGCUUUGGCGGCUCCGGCCGCCAAAGGACCUUCAAACUCCAGUCAGUAAACGCAGACGUCUGAUAAACAAGUUAAUAAACUAAAACUUUCAACAACGGAUCUCUUGGUUCUGGCAUCGAUGAAGAACGCAGCGAAAUGCGAUAAGUAAUGUGAAUUGCAGAAUUCAGUGAAUCAUCGAAUCUUUGAACGCACAUUGCGCCCCUUGGUAUUCCGGGGGGCAUGCCUGUUCGAGCGUCAUUACAACCCUCAAGCUCUGCUUGGAAUUGGGCACCGUCCUCACUGCGGACGCGCCUCAAAGACCUCGGCGGUGGCUGUUCAGCCCUCAAGCGUAGUAGAAUACACCUCGCUUUGGAGCGGUUGGCGUCGCCCGCCGGACGAACCUUCUGAACUUUUCUCAAGGUUGACCUCGGAUCAGGUAGGGAUACCCGCUGAACUUAAGCAUAUCAAUAAGCG